UGGGGAAUAUUGGACAAUGGGGGGAACCCUGAUCCAGCCAUGCCGCGUGUGUGAAGAAGGCCUUAUGGUUGUAAAGCACUUUAAGCGAGGAGGAGGCUCUCUUGGUUAAUACCCAAGAUGAGUGGACGUUACUCGCAGAAUAAGCACCGGCUAACUCUGUGCCAGCAGCCGCGGUAAUACAGAGGGUGCGAGCGUUAAUCGGAUUUACUGGGCGUAAAGCGUGCGUAGGCGGCUUUUUAAGUCGGAUGUGAAAUCCCCGAGCUUAACUUGGGAAUUGCAUUCGAUACUGGGAAGCUAGAGUAUGGGAGAGGAUGGUAGAAUGCCAGGUGUAGCAGUGAAAUGCGUAGAGAUCUGGAGGAAUACCGAUGGCGAAGGCAGCCAUCUGGCCUAAUACUGACGCUGAGGUACGAAAGCAUGGGGAGCAAACAGG
rnacentral:rRNA from 1 species